rnacentral:rRNA from 1 species
CAGCCCUAAACGAUGCGCGUUAGGUGUAUCGGUGACCACGAGUCACCGAGGUGCCGAAGGGAAACCGUGAAACGUGCCGCCUGGGAAGUACGGUCGCAAGGCUGAAACUUAAAGGAAUUGGCGGGGGAGCACCACAACGGGUGGAGCUUGCGGUUUAAUUGGAUUCAACGCCGGAAAUCUUACCAGGGGCGACAGCAGAAUGAUGGCCAGGUUGAUGACCUUGCUUGACAAGCUGAGAGGUGGUGCAUGGCGUGUGACUGU